rnacentral:misc_RNA from 1 species
AACGCAUAUUGCGCCCGCUGGUAUUCCAGCGGGCACGCCUGUCCGAGCGCCAUCGAACACCCUCGAGCCCAGGCUCGCUGUUGGGCACCGCCCGGGAGGGCGCGCCCCGAAAACCGUCGGCGGCCCCGUCGGUCCCGGUACGCACCGCGCCUAACGGCCCGCGUCGAAGGACCGCACGGCGGCCGCCCGCGCCUCACAGCACACGAGAAGGCCUCGGAUCAGGCGGGGUUACCCGCUGAACUUAA